GAUGAACGCUGGCGGCGUGCCUAAUACAUGCAAGUCGAGCGAACAGACGAGGAGCUUGCUCCUCUGACGUUAGCGGCGGACGGGUGAGUAACACGUGGAUAACCUACCUAUAAGACUGGGAUAACUUCGGGAAACCGGAGCUAAUACCGGAUAAUAUAUUGAACCGCAUGGUUCAAUAGUGAAAGACGGUUUUGCUGUCACUUAUAGAUGGAUCCGCGCCGCAUUAGCUAUUUGGUAAGGUAACGGCUUACCAAGGCAACGAUGCGUAGCCGAACUGAGAGGGUGAUCGGCCACACUGGAACUGAGACAAGGUCCAGACUCCUACGGGAGGCAGCAGUAGGGAAUCUUCCGCAAUGGGCGAAAGCCUGACGGAGCAACGCCGCGUGAGUGAUGAAGGUCUUCGGAUCGUAAAACUCUGUUAUUAGGGAAGAACAAAUGUGUAAGUAACUAUGCACGUAUUGACGGUACCUAAUCAGAAAGCCACGGCUAACUACGUG
rnacentral:rRNA from 1 species